rnacentral:rRNA from 1 species
UUGCACGCUGGCGGCAGGCCUAACACAUGCAAGUCGAACGGUAACAGGAAGCAGCUUGCUGCUUCGCUGACGAGUGGCGGACGGGUGAGUAAUGUCUGGGAAACUGCCUGAUGGAGGGGGAUAACUACUGGAAACGGUAGCUAAUACCGCAUAACGUCGCAAGACCAAAGAGGGGGACCUUAGGGCCUCUUGCCAUCGGAUGUGCCCAGAUGGGAUUAGCUAGUAGGUGGGGUAACGGCUCACCUAGGCGACGAUCCCUAGCUGGUCUGAGAGGAUGACCAGCCACACUGGAACUGAGACACGGUCCAGACUCCUACGGGAGGCAGCAGUGGGGAAUAUUGCACAAUGGGCGCAAGCCUGAUGCAGCCAUGCCGCGUGUAUGAAGAAGGCCUUCGGGUUGUAAAGUACUUUCAGCGGGGAGGAAGGGAGUAAAGUUAAUACCUUUGCUCAUUGACGUUACCCGCAGAAGAAGCGCCGGCUAACUCCGUG